AAUGUGCCAUGUUUAUACACGCUACGAUAAUUUAAGUAUUGUGGCUACUACAGAACGCAAUUACCCUUCACGAGUCAUCUUCUCGUUGAUGCACGAUUUACUUGAUCAAUUUAGUAGUCGAUUUCCAAAAAACGUGUGGGAAAGUUGCCAGUCAAAAACAUUAUCGUUUCCUGAACUGGAAACUCAACUUUUUAAGUAUGAGGAUCCAGUUAAUGCCGAUAAGCUUUUGGCCAUUCAGAAAGAUUUGGAAGAAACUAAAGUUACUCUGCAUAAAACUAUUGAAUCCGUUCUAGAAAGAGGAGAAAAACUUGAAAACAUAGUUGAGAGAUCUAAUGAUUUAAGCGUUCAAUCAAAAGUUUUUUACAAAACCGCACGAAAAACUAACUCAUGCUGUACA